rnacentral:rRNA from 1 species
CCUACGGGCGGCAGCAGUGAGGAAUAUUGGUCAAUGGACGAGAGUCUGAACCAGCCAAGUAGCGUGAAGGAUGACUGCCCUAUGGGUUGUAAACUUCUUUUAUAAAGGAAUAAAACGAGGCACGUGUGCCUUUUUGCAUGUACUUUAUGAAUAAGGAUCGGCUAACUCCGUGCCAGCAGCCGCGGUAAUACGGAGGAUCCGAGCGUUACCCGGAUUUAUUGGGUUUAAAGUGAGCGUAGAUGGGUUGUUAAGUCAGUUGUGAAAGUUUGCGGCUCAACCGGAAAAUUGCAAUUGAUACUGGCAGUCUGGAGUACAGUUGAGGUAGGCGGAAUUCGUGGUGUAGCGGUGAAAUGCGUAGAUAUCACGAAGAACCCCGAUUGCGAAGGCAGCUUACUAAACUGUGACUGACAUUGAUGCUCGAAAGUGUGGGUAUCAAACAUGAUUAGAUACCCUUGUAGUC